rnacentral:rRNA from 1 species
GUGGGGAAUUUUGGACAAUGGGCGCAAGCCUGAUCCAGCAAUGCCGCGUGCAGGAAGAAGGCCUUCGGGUUGUAAACUGCUUUUGUACGGAACGAAACGGUCCUGGCUAAUACCUGGGGCUAAUGACGGUACCGUAAGAAUAAGCACCGGCUAACUACGUGCCAGCAGCCGCGGUAAUACGUAGGGUGCGAGCGUUAAUCGGAAUUACUGGGCGUAAAGCGUGCGCAGGCGGUGCUGUAAGACAGGCGUGAAAUCCCCGGGCUAAACCUGGGAAUUGCGCUUGUGACUGCAGUGCUGGAGUGCGGCAGAGGGGGAUGGAAUUCCGCGUGUAGCAGUGAAAUGCGUAGAUAUGCGGAGGAACACCGAUGGCGAAGGCAAUCCCCUGGGCCUGCACUGACGCUCAUGCACGAAAGCGUGGGGAGCAAACAGGAUUAGAAACCCUUGUAGUCC